AUUAUUACAAAUAUUAAUUGACUAGUUAAAGCAAAGGCCACUACAAUGAAAAAUGCAGAUGCUCAAACGUUAUUAAAAUAACGGAACACUGUCUUACAAGUAUGGCAUCCCUUUUUUGCAAAAUACAAUGAAAACCAAGGAGUCUUCACAUCCAGUUUUAGGAAUGCUGAACACUACUUCUGGUCAUUAGUCCGGCCUUUAAUAACUUCUGAUAUUAUAGGGUACAGGAUGAGAUUAAUAACAACACUGGAUCUCCCUGAGACAAGUUAAUAGAGACACAUAUUUGGAGUUUCCAAUCAAUUAAGAAACAGUAACUUGAAAUAACAUUAACUAACAACUAAUCAAAA